AUGGUGAUGAUGUCUCCAUGUACAUGGGCAUUCUUGGAAUCCUGUAAGUGCCGGAGAGUUGCCCGUGUGGCUUGGUCUGUUUUCAUGAGCCUACAGCCAGAGUCAAGGCCGUGGUGGUCAAAUUCCAUGGGGCAAUACAGUUUUCUCAAUUCCUGUUUCUCUGAGUCUAUCAUGGGGAAAAUGAUGAAUCCGGUAGGAGCCAAGGAGAUCUGGCGCAACUUCUGGCAUACCAAGAACGUUCAGAUCACAGCAGAGAUCAAGAAUGUCAUCUUUGAAACUAAGCAUCAUCCUGGGUUACUUAGCGGUGGUACAAGCCCGUCACCAGGCCUUGGUCCAGCAUUGGACACAAUCCCUCGGGGACUAGCCGCAACAUCACGGAGAAGAGGCGUCAGCUUAUGGAUACACGCAGGGGGAAUAUCUGAAUACAUGAUUUACCAUGGACAUCAGCAACAUAGGCGAUGUACUGAAGGAAGCUUCGGAGAGCGUGGCCAACGCUAG
rnacentral:rRNA from 1 species